rnacentral:lncRNA from 1 species
CGUUUGUUCACUCACUUUCUGUGAAAAGAGUUUUGAAAUGUAUUCUGAAUAGACAGCAUUUCCUUUGUGUAGUUGGUAAAUAACGGAGAGCAAAGUUAGUCAGCAAGUUACAUAGUUUCUGCAUUCUGAUUCUUUGGAGCCCUUUUGUAUCAAGCCUGGGCAGGAUGUUUUUAACAGAAUGUGACCUCACAAGCAUACUAGAGAAAAGAAUCUUGGAUUGGACUGUGUGGAGAAAUCGAAAAAGAAAUAUCAUAAGAGAAAUUGAGGGUAAUUCUCCAUAUCCAGGAAAAGACUGCUGGGUACACAUCAGUAGAGAAUCACCAAAGAAAGAUUAAAAACAAGCAGAGUCGGAGCUUUCAAGUUCUGAACCAGCACGCUGAUUAAAAGAUCAGGAUCAAAGUGUGUGGGAAUAUAGAUAAAUCAGUCAUUGACAUAAGACUGAAACAAAUCCAAUGGAAAAAUAAUCUUUUGAACAUAUUGGGCUCCAUCCUGAAUAGAGACAAAAAAUAGCGAGGUGCGAAAACAACAAAUGCUUGGAAUUGCAGAGAGGAAAAUGGAGAUCUGAUCCCUAAGCAGUGGAAAUGAUCCCUGAUAAAUUAAUAUGAAGGAAAAAAACAUCUCCCAGUGUGAACCGCAACACCAACUUUUUUUUUUCACGAUUAAAACUUUAUGCUAGAGAUAUUAACUCAUUCCUUAUCCUGGAGAUGCCUUAACAUAUUAUAAAGGUAAUAAGCAAAUUUCUAUUUGAGAUUAUGUAAAAAAUGUUAUAAAAAUAAAUGGAAAUAUAAAAAUGAUCA